rnacentral:misc_RNA from 1 species
GUGUGUGUGUGUGUGUAUCAAGUAAUCCGAGAGAGUUGGGAGGAAUACUCCACUAGACAUAUUAAGAAAUUGUUAACAUAUAUAUGCUCUAACUCCAGUGGCGGAGCUAGGAAAAACUACUUGAGGACAGACUUGAGUUAUAAAAAAAAAUAUAUGCAUGCAUUCAAAAUCAAGUCUCCUCAUCUAUCAAAUUUGAUGAAAAUUAUGAUUUUCAUAGUUAGAAUUAUAAAAAGGGAGGGUUACUUCAAUUUUACUAUAUCAUAACUAUUAGUCGUAAAGUAUUUAUUGGGAAAGUUUCCUAUGAUAAAUAAUAAAUAUUACUUAAUUAAAUAUAUCAAAUUGAAAUACAUCUUUUUUAACUUUUAAACUUAAAUACUAAAAUAUAUGAGACAAUAAACAAGAACAUACAAGUCUUGCACCUAAAAAAU